rnacentral:lncRNA from 10 species
AGACCAAGCCUGCCCAGAGUUGGAGUCUUGAGACGUGAGCCUUGCAAAAGACGAACACAUGGCACUUGAAGUCUGAUAGGUAGGUAGGUAGGUAGGUAGGUAGGUAGGUAGGUAGGUAGAUAGAUAGAUAGAUAGAUAGAUAGAUAGAUAGAUAGAUAGACAGACAGACAGACAGACAGACAAAUACAAUACAAUAGACUAUUGGUCUGUUGAUACACGUUUAGGAGGUCACGGGUAGCUUUCCCCCUCCCAGCACACCCAGCCCUAGAUCAUCCAGUUGUCUUUUAGAGCUUACAAGGGAGGAAAAAAAUUAUUUUUUCUGCUACUUUUCUAGAUUCUCCAGCUGGAGCCCUAUAAAUUGGACUGACAAAAGACAGAUUAGCAAGAGAAAUGCAAGCAGCAGUUUAUUAACAUGUGCAUCAUGAUUACACAUGGAAGUACCCAGAGGUGAGUAACACAAAGGAGUGGUUAGAACUUGGGCUUAUAUACCACCUUAACAUAAAACACAGGAAAAGGGGUUUGAGGCUUCUGAGUGGGGGAGGCAAGUUAUGGGAUGGUGACCAGGAAAAGUAUGGUAGACAAGAGUUGUUUAGUAAGGUGUGUUAUGUGGAUUUAAAUCAGUACCUUCUUCAUUGAUAAGAGUUGUUAAGAGUACUCCUUUUCCUGGUAUGGGAGAGGGAGAUAUCUCCACAAAUCUAAAUUUCGUUUAUUAGGGGAAACCAUGUGCCCUGGUUUUAGAGCUUUUCCUGAGACUGCUGGUUCUUAAUGGCCUCGAGCUCAAAAUAAUCCAUAUGCCAAAGGGGCAUAUUUUGGGGUGGCGUAUUCUGGUACCUCUCAGGCUACUCCUGACACUAUUUUCACUUGACUUCCUAGUCACCUCAUCUGCUCUUCACCCUGGAUGCUAGAGAAAAUUCUCUGGCUCUGUCAUAACUGAAAGCACAAAGUUCUUUCUGUGCAUUCCUCUGAUCUAAAGCAUUGUGACAGAUUAAAACUAGGCUUUGUACAAUCUUUCGCUGAUGACUCCUCUGAGUCCUGCCCCUCUGGGACACAGCCUAAGACAAGCAGCCAAAACAUGUCUUCACCUUCUCUCUUAAGAGCUUCUUCCUGACUUUCUCCCAUCUUGGACAUAUUUUAGUAAUUUCUCAAAAAGUAUUUGCAAUGGUUAAUUUUAUGUAUCAACUAAACUAGGCUAUUGUGCUCAUUUGCUUUGUCAACCACCAGUCUGGAUGUUGCUGUGAAGGUGUUUUUUUUAGAUAUGAUUAAUCCAGGUCAUAAGACCUCAUGUGACAAGUGCCCUCCUUACUCCCAGAGAAAAGGAAGGAAGACACAGAAACACCACGAAGAAUAUGGACAAACAGACCUUGCUAAGUUCCCCCCCAUUUAUUACCAUGACAUCAUACUCCCUUUGUCCAAUCACACUUUCAUCAAACCUGAGCAUGAAAAUACACAGGUUUCUCUGUUUGGGGGGUGGGUCUUCAUUUUUGAAGUUUCCAUGUCAUGUAAAACUUAUAUUAAAGA